AUAUAAAUAAGGCGAGUGAACUCGCUCGAUUUUUCCAUUCAUUCUCUCCCAGGUUCAAUGGAGCCAACGAGCUUUGUCCACAUAGAAGCUCUCUUCUCUUCCCCGCUGCACUCGUUUCGAAUCGAAUGCCAUUCCUCUGUUCUCCAAAUUACGGAGCUCAACUACUCUUCCGAGGGCCCAAAUGCUCCUGUAUCGAUAGCCAUGCUUUUUGACUCUAUGUAAUCUACUGUAAUCGGAGAUUCUAGGGUUUCGGAUUCCUGAAAUCCGUUCCCGAUCAACUAUAGGUUAAAAAGUUUCAAUCUUUUUGUAUUAGUUUCAGUUUUCUUCUUUAUAUUUAUUAUAUACUUGUAACGCAAAGGGGGUUAGGGUUAGGGUUUUUGAGAAAUUUCCUUGUUUGCUACCCCCCACCCUCUUCGGGUUGUUUUGGAGAUGGAAAUGGAGGGUUCUCGUAGAUCCAUUGAUAGGUCGAGGGAACCAGGUUUAAAGAAACCUAGAUUGUCUGAGGAGAUCGAACGAGAUCGUAGUUUGAACGGCGUUGUCGAUCGUGAUCGAGCGUUUCAGCAGAGAGUCUCUACUGUUGGAAGCGGCCCCGGAGCUGGACCGUUACUUUCAAGGUUUAGAACGAACGAGAGGGACAGGAAUGUGGAGAGAGAUGAGUCUGUACGAGGAUCUUAUCAGCAGCAGCAAGAGCUUGUCAGUCAGUAUAAGACAGCUCUUGCAGAACUGACCUUCAAUUCAAAGCCCAUCAUCACUAACCUCACUAUUAUCGCGGGGGAGAAUCUCCAUGCUGCCAAGGGAAUCGCUGCCACUGUCUCUGCGAAUAUUCUUGAGGUACCCAGUGAGCAAAAGCUACCAUCUCUUUACCUUUUAGAUAGUAUUGUAAAGAACAUUGGGAGAGAUUACAUCAAACACUUUGCUGCCAGACUACCUGAGGUAUUCUGCAAGGCCUAUAGACAGGUUGAUUCUUCAAUUCAUUCUGGUAUGCGUCAUCUUUUUGGGACUUGGAAAGGUGUAUUUCCGCCUACAACUCUUCAGAAAAUAGAGAAAGAACUUGGUUUCCCACCUGCCGUGAAUGGCUCAUCUUCUGGCAUAACAGAAUCCAGGCCUGGUUCACAAUCACCACGCCCACCGCAUAGCAUUCAUGUGAAUCCCAAGUAUUUAGAGGCGAGGCAGCGCCUGCAACAGUCAAACAAGAACUCUCAGCGUCCCCAAAGAGAAGCAUUAAGUGAGCCUGUUCAUGAGAAGAACGCUGGUGCGGCUUAUGGAGAUUAUGAAUAUGGUUCUGAUCUUUCAAGGCAUCCAGACAUGGGACCAGAAAGUGGCAGUGAGAGGCUUACUGAGAGAGGACUUGACAAGACUUGGUAUGGAGCCAGAAACAGUGCUGACGCAGAUGUUAGCCUAAGCAAUGGGUUUGAUACACGACAUGGAUUUUCAAACUACCAAGUACCUAGAUCUACUCAAUCUGUUGCUCAGCUACAGCCAGCUCUGAGUACUGCAAACAGAAGUGGCAGAGGGAUAUCUAAGAAUUGGAAGAACUCUGAGGAAGAGGAGUACAUGUGGGAUGAUAUGAAUUUCAGAUUGAGAGAUCAUGGGGCUCCUGAUAGCUCAAGGAGAGAUGGUUGGACUCCAGAUGAUUCAGAAAAGCUGGAUGAAGAGCACCUUCUACAACCUCUGAGAGAACGUGAUAUUGGGAAUAAAGUUAAUAGAGAAACUUCCUCUGAUUCAAAAUCCAUGACAAAGAGAGGACAAGCAACAUUUGGGAAUCGAACAUCACCAGUGUGGUCAUUGCAAGAGCCACACCCAGUAGAUACCACCCAUACAGGCCAAACUUUAAAGGUUUCAGGUGGUUCAGCUUCUCUGAGUGGUUCAUCUUUCACUAGGGGGGCUGGGCUUCUUACUCAGAUGGUUCCAUCGUCGGGAUCUGCUGGAGUUUUAGGGCAACAAAGACAUCUUCUGGGAUCUGCAUCCCCAUCCAUCCAGUCUUCCAUUCUCCAGGAUUCUCAUUCACCUAUAUCUUUAACGCUUCAUCAGCAUCAGCAAUCACAUAAUUUGUCUGAGCAAGACCAUCCCCAUUCAGAGUCCAUUGCUCAGCCUGGUUCGAAAUCAUCUCAGCUUGCAGGAUCAUUGAGUCGUGUACCUAAAGAAUCUUCCCCCAUCCCUUUUAAUCAGCCUGGUACUCUGCAAAAUUUGCAGUUGAAUCAAUCACAGCCUCCCCCACAUCUACAAACUUCAUCUCCUUUAUUGCCUUUUCCUCAACUAAGGCCUCUUGCUCCCUGCCCACAGCCAGAGAAAUUGCCGUCUCAAAUAUCCGGUCAGUCCCAUAAGCUACUGCAUCAAAUCCCAAAUUUUGGAACUUUAACAACAAGCUCUUCUGUGCCUAGCCAUUCUAAUAGUUCCACUGUGGAGCAAACUGGAGAAUCAAACACUAGAAGUUUGUUGGAUGCAAUUUUUAAAAAGGGACUGCUUUCAAACAACAUAGCUAGUGGUGGUUUCCCCAACCUUAAUUUCCAGGAGUCAGGGUCGUUGCCAUCUAAUUUGAACAUACAGCCCCCUCUGCCAAGUGGUCCUCCCCCUAUCCAGCAUGCUGGGUCAUCUACUCCCAUGGUUUCACCAUCUUCUUUAGCUUCAGCUUCCCGGGGGAAUGCAUCAGCUGUAACGACACUCCCUCAGAGAUCAACUGUACGGCCUCCUCUGCCUCCUGGACCUCCACCUUCCUCAUCUAUUAUAGGUAGUACAUCAACACAGUCAUCAAGUGUAACCAGUGCUACUCCCAAUCCUCUUUCAAGUCUUUUGAAUUCAUUAGUCGCACGGGGCUUGAUAUCUGCAUCAACGACCGAGUCAUCAACUAUCACUGCUACCCAGGUGCCAAGUCAAAACCAAACCCUGAGCCCUGGUCCAAGUACCAGUAGCCCCAUGUCAGUAUCCUCGAGUCCAGCUGCUGCAACCAUCCCUUCAUGUCAGUAUCCUGGUCCAAGUACCAGUAGCUCCAUGUCAGUAUCCUCAAGUCCAGCUGCUGCAACCAUCCCUUUAUCUUCUGGGAAUGAACUUCCUUUUACAGAAUCUGGCGUGAAGAGCACAACUAGCUUGCCUCAAGCCACUACAAGUGAAUCAAAGGGUCUCAUAGGGAUGGAGUUUAAGCCAGAGAUUAUCCGGGAAUCACAUCCAUCAGUUAUCAGUGGUCUCUUUGAUGACCUUUCCUAUCAUUGCAAUAUCUGUGGUCUUCGGCUUAGACUUAAAGAAAGAUUUGAUAGACAUAUGGAGUGGCAUGCUUCAAAGAAGCCUGAACAAAGCAGUUCUAAUAUGGUUUCAAGGAGGUGGUAUGCAAAUCUGGGUGACUGGAUUGCAGGGAAUGUAGGGCAUCCAUCUGGAUCUACAUCCACUGCUUCAAUUGAAGUCUCAGAGAAGGCAUUGGAGGAGAGCGAACAGGCAGUAACUGCUGAUGAAAGCCAGUGUGUGUGUGUCUUGUGUGGAGAGCUGUUUGAGGAUUUCUACAAUCACGAAAGAGACGUAUGGAUGUUCAAGGGGGCGGUGUAUAUGACCAUCCCACCUGGGGACGAUAAUGGAGGAACUACUGGUGGGAGUGCUGUCCAGGGUCCUAUUGUGCAUGCAAGCUGUGUUUCACGAAUUUCUGUUUUAUGACUUGUAGAUCUCAGCCAGAUUUUCGACUUGAUUGGAUAAGCUUAAUCCAUCUACCUCUAUACUUUCAUCUGGAUCUGUAAUGCUCCUGUUAUUUCCCUAAGAGUGAAUGGAGUUGUUUGAUCUUCUUGAUGAGUCCCAUUGCAAACAGAGGAUCCUGAUCCUCUGCAUGUCUUAACCAUCAAGCUGGUAGUUCUGGGCUGAAGGAAAAGGCAAAUGAAUGAUGCUUUGAAGUUUUAAAUCCACACCGUUCAUUGUAUUAAGGGUAAUGAUGAAUGAACUGACACAGGAUAUGCAGUUUUACCCUUAGUCAUCAGGCUAAUUUGCUGGUGCUUGAAAAUGGGAUUGUGGGCUGAGCAGCGCCCCACUUGAUAUGUUUUCUUUUCCUUAUCAUUUCUUUUUCAAAGGAAAUAUAUAAAAUACAAAUCCAUAGAUAUUUUGCUGAUUUUGGUCAUUGUAUUUCUUCUCUGAUGUGGGUUUUGUGUAUUGCUCCUUGAAAUCUCCUUCCUUCUUCAAGCUGGCUUAAGUAGAAUUGUGAUUAAUUCCGGCACACGAUGUAGCUACCAAAGAAUCCCAUCCUGUGUAAUAAGUUCUGCAGUAUGGGUACAUCACAUUUUCGCCUUGAAGCAGAUGAGAAUGUAGAAAUCGGUUGCUUUUGUUUUU